rnacentral:rRNA from 1 species
CCUACGGGUGGCUGCAGUGAGGAAUAUUGGUCAAUGGGCGUAAGCCUGAACCAGCCAAGUCGCGUGAGGGAUGACGGUUCUAUGGAUUGUAAACCUCUUUUAUAAGGGAAUAAAGUGUGGGACGUGUCCUGUUUUGUAUGUACCUGAUGAAUAAGGAUCGGCUAACUCCGUGCCCGCAGCCGCGGUAAUACGGAGGAUCCGAGCGUUAUCCGGAUUUAUUGGGUUUAAAGGGUGCGUAGGCGGCCUGUUAAGUCCGCGGUGAAAGUCUGUGGCUCAAACAUAGAAUUGCCGUUGAAACUGGGAGGCUUGAGUGUGUGUGAGGCAGGCGGAAUGCGUGGUGUAGCGGUGAAAUGCUUAGAUAUCACGCAGAACCCCGAUUGCGAAGGCAGCAUGCCAGCGCAUGACUGACGCUGAUGCACGAAAGCGUGGGGAUCGAACAGGAUUAGAUACCCGAGUAGUC